AGAAUAGAGGGGAAUGAUCACGUCCCUCGAUCUGCUGGCAAUGCUCCUACUUAUACAGCCCAAAAUGCCAUUAGUCUUCUUGGCAACAAGGGAACCCCGUUGACUCAUAUCCACUGUUGACUCAUAUCCUCUGAUCCUGUAUUAUCUCUAUCUUGUUAUGUGGGUUGGGUCUAUUCUAGCUUUAUCCAUUAUUGUACUAAAGGUAUCUAAGGUUUUACUUUGCCCUCAGUGUGAGUGUUCCUGUCAUCUACCCCAAGACUCCCUGCAAGAUAUUAAACUCCAUAGUGUGAAUUCUGGGUAGCCUGAUUUUAGGGGAAGAACCUUAUCACAGUAAGAUCAAUUGGCCAUUAAGCUAAACGUUAGCAACCUUAAAAAGGGUUAGGCAACAAACAAAAAUCACCAAAGGAAAACAGAGCAGAUGCAUUUUCCUGUUUCUGUACAAGGCACUUUGAGAUGCUUGGAUGGGAGGGCCUACAUUAUUAACCUAGGCCGGCAAAUGAAAGAAAGACCAGCUCAUACCAGUCAAUGGGCUAGAGCUUCUCACCUCUGGCCACUGCAGAAGCUGACAUUUUUGUGUG